rnacentral:rRNA from 1 species
CCUACGGGAGGCUGCAGUGGGGAAUAUUGCACAAUGGGCGCAAGCCUGAUGCAGCCAUGCCGCGUGUGUGAAGAAGGCCUUCGGGUUGUAAAGCACUUUCAGCGGGGAGGAAGGCGGUGAGGUUAAUAACCUCAUCGAUUGACGUUACCCGUAGAAGAAGCACCGGCUAACUCCGUGCCAGCAGCCGCGGUAAUACGGAGGGUGCAAGCGUUAAUCGGAAUUACUGGGCGUAAAGCGCACGCAGGCGGUCUGUCAAGUCGGAUGUGAAAUCCCCGGGCUCAACCUGGGAACUGCAUUCGAAACUGGCAGGCUAGAGUCUUGUAGAGGGGGGUAGAAUUCCAGGUGUAGCGGUGAAAUGCGUAGAGAUCUGGAGGAAUACCGGUGGCGAAGGCGGCCCCCUGGACAAAGACUGACGCUCAGGUGCGAAAGCGUGGGGAGCAAACAGGAUUAGAUACCCCAGUAGUC